rnacentral:tRNA from 1 species
GCCGAAGUGGUGAAAUGGCAGACACGCUACGUUCAGGGCGUAGUGAGCAUUAGCUCAUGUGGGUUCAAGUCCCACCUUCGGCA